UACGUAGGGUGCGAGCGUUGCCCGGAUUUAUUGGGCGUAAAGGGCGCGUAGGCGGCUCGGCACGUCCGUUGUGAAAUCGCCCGGCUCAACUGGGCGGGGUCAGCGGAUACGGUCGAGCUUGAGCAAGCUAGGGGGCAAUGGAAUUCCCGGUGUAGUGGUGGAAUGCGCAGAUAUCAGGAGGAACACCGAUGGCGAAGGCAGGUCACUGGGCCGCAACUGACGCUGAGGAGCGAAAGCAUGGGGAGCGAACAGG
rnacentral:rRNA from 1 species